AACAGGAUUAGAUACCCUGGGUAGUCCACGCCGUAAACGAUGUCGACUUGGAGGUUGUUCCCUUGAGGAGUGGCUUCUGGAGCUAACGCGUUAAGUCGACCGCCUGGGGAGUACGGCCGCAAGGUUAAAACUCAAAUGAAUUGACGGGGGCCCGCACAAGCGGUGGAGCAUGUGGUUUAAUUCGAUGCAACGCGAAGAACCUUACCUACUCUUGACAUCCAGCGAACUUGGCAGAGAUGCCUUGGUGCCUUCGGGAACGCUGAGACAGGUGCUGCAUGGCUGUCGUCAGCUCGUGUUGUGAAAUGUUGGGUUAAGUCCCGCAACGAGCGCAACCCUUAUCCUUUGUUGCCAGCGAUUCGGUCGGGAACUCAAAGGAGACUGCCGGUGAUAAACCGGAGGAAGGUGGGGAUGACGUCAAGUCAUCAUGGCCCUUACGAGUAGGGCUACACACGUGCUACAAUGGCGCAUACAAAGAGAAGCGACCUCGCGAGAGCAAGCGGACCUCAUAAAGUGCGUCGUAGUCCGGAUCGGAGUCUGCAACUCGACUCCGUGAAGUCGGAAUCGCUAGUAAUCGUGGAUCAGAAUGCCACGGUGAAUACGUUCCCGGGCCUUGUACACACCGCCCGUCACACCAUGGGAGUGGGUUGCAAAAGAAGUAGGUAGCUUAACCCUCGGGAGGGCGCUUACCACUUUGUGAUUCAUGACUGGGGUGAAGUCGUAACAAGGUAAC
rnacentral:rRNA from 1 species